GUGAUAUUUUUAACGGCCGCAGUACUUUGACUGUGCUAAGGUAGCGUAAUCAGUUGGCUUUUAAAUGAAGUCGAGAAUGAAAGGGUUUUGGGGAACUUACUGUCUCUACUGAGGUAAUUUUAAUUUACUUAAAGGGUGAAAAUUCCCUUAUAUAGAAAAAAGACGAGAAGACCCUAAGAGUUUUAACUAAACUAUACGAUGUAUGGGAAGUUUUUGCUGGGGCGGCAAAGAGGCAUUUAAACCCUCUUGUAUUUUUUUUGGUGGCCGUAUAUAUGAUGUAACAAUAAACUACCUUAGGGAUAACAGCAUAAUUUAGUAUAAGUUUGUGACCUCGAUGUUGGACUAGGGAUUUUACGGCUAGCAGUCGCAAGAGAAAGUUCUGUUCGAACUCUUACCCCUAC
rnacentral:rRNA from 1 species